rnacentral:rRNA from 1 species
GUGGGGAAUCUUAGACAAUGGGCGCAAGCCUGAUCUAGCCAUGCCGCGUGAGCGAUGAAGGCCUUAGGGUUGUAAAGCUCUUUCAGUGGGGACGAUAAUGACGGUACCCACAGAAGAAGCCCCGGCUAACUUCGUGCCAGCAGCCGCGGUAAUACGAAGGGGGCUAGCGUUGUUCGGAUUUACUGGGCGUAAAGCGCACGUAGGCGGAUCGUUAAGUCGGGGGUGAAAUCCUGGAGCUCAACUCCAGAACUGCCUUCGAUACUGGCGAUCUUGAGUACGGAAGAGGUGAGUGGAACUCCUAGUGUAGAGGUGGAAUUCGUAGAUAUUAGGAAGAACACCAGUGGCGAAGGCGGCUCACUGGUCCGGUACUGACGCUGAGGUGCGAAAGCGUGGGGAGCAAACAGGAUUAGAAACCCCUGUAGUCC